rnacentral:rRNA from 1 species
AACGUAGGAGACAAACGUUAUCCGGAGUUACUGGGCGUAAAGGGCGUGCAGGCGGUCGACUAAGUCUGGCGUGAAAGCUCUCGGCUAAACCGGGAGAGGUCGUUGGAUACUGGUUGACUAGAGGACGGUAGAGGCGUGUGGAAUUCCGGGUGUAGUGGUGAAAUGCGUAGAGAUCGGGAGGAACACCAGAGGCGAAGGCGGCUCACUGGACAGUCACUGACACUCAACUGCGAAAGCGUGGGGAGCAAGCAGG